rnacentral:lncRNA from 10 species
GCUGGAGGGUCCAUGAGAUGGAAGUCGGUUGGGAUGGCCUGGGCCCUGGCCAGUGCCAGGAGGCCUGGUUCCGAUGCCCUGCUCGAAGCCAGCCAGUCCCUGAGGAGAGACAGUCAGUCAGCAGGCAGCACUUUCUGUGUCUUACGCAGCAGGUGACGGCAGGGAGUCUGACCCUGCUUUUACCAUGAAAACCAACAAUCUCAGCCAGGCAAGACCUGAAGACCAAGCUGGGACACAGGCCACAAAAGCCAUCUGAGUGACAGGGAUGGGGUGCAGGCCCAACCCAAGGGGAGCAGCCCAGACUGGCCCUGGCUGGUUAGGGCCAUGCUGGAUGGAUUCAGGCCCAAUAUUACCAGUUCUUCCUGUCAAAUCCAAACUAGGGGCAAAACAUUAUUUUACUUUUUCCGUAACCACUCACGAUCCAUCCCUAUUAGUUUUGGGGUGUUUUUUAAACCGUUAUUUUUGAAUAGGCAAUAGGUAACCACCAUCACCAGUUUCUUUUGUUUUCUUUCUGGGAUAAUCAAUGUAUAUGCAAUGCAAACGAGAGCACAUGUGCCUUGUUUGAUUCACUCAGUAUUACUGCAAUUCUUUCUAACAGCAAUGAAUUCAAACUUGUUUCCAGAUUAUAUGGGUCAGCUGGUACCUCUGGUUGGAGCUGUAGAGCAUAAGAAGUUGGCCUUUAGUCCUGAAGGAGAAAACUGAGGUCAAGGUAGUGAAGGGACAGGGAAGGCUGGGGUAAGUGGCCUGGCUAGGUCGCACACCCUUGCUCUCACUUCACUGCCCGCCAAAGCUAGCUCUUUUGCUCUGGACUCAGCUGGACAGAUCAAUGGAACAGCACUGAUAUACGUGCCAGACAGCACGGUGCCAGCUGCAAAGACAACAUAAAUUUCCCAAAGGGCAGGCUGUCUUGGAGGGAGGGAAGGGUGGCUCCAGAAAGCCGGGAGGGGCACAUCAAAUUGCCAGGGGCUGCAGGACCAGGUGAGUCCAGGUGCCAGCGCAUGACUGUGGCACAAAGCAGGGGUGGCCUGGUGGAGGGACCUCAAGAUUUAAGCAGUGAGGAAAAUAACAGACCUCUUCCAAGCGCAGCUUUCCCAACCUGGCAGACUUUGGCCAGGCCCAGACCCAGGAGUCUCACCCAGGCCGGCGGGGUGAUGCCUGCCCUGCAGAUCUGAUGCAGGGUGUCGGUGACUGAGUUUACAUAUCAACACUUUUCAUUUUCCCCUCUCCAAGGAAACCAGGCCCAGAGCCUGAUCCACUUAGCUCCUCCCACACCAUCAACAAAGAUAUUUACUAUGUUCCCAACCAGGGAGCUGGCGAGGAUGUAAACGGUCUUGCCAUCCUUAUGUCCUCUACACCCCAUCUGGAAAGGGGAGUCCUUGUGCUUAUGGCCCCCAUUUCCUUAUCUAGCUCCCUUCUAGUCUGCAACAUUCCAGCUCAUUCUCUUUUAUUUAUACCUCAAAUAUUUAUAUAUACUUUCCAAAAGAGACUGGAAGCAUCUGCCAAGAAGUGUGGAUUCCCUCAGUGGGAAUGGAAUCUUUUGGGGUUUGUAAACAGGGAGUGAUGCAAUCAACUUUGCAUUUGAUUAAAGCUGCUCUGGCCCCUAACGUGGGGGGUGCAGGAGGAGCACCAGGCACUAGAAACCUGUCUGCUGUGAAAACAAAAGAUACAGGCCCUAAGGAGGGCAGGAAGCAAUGGGGAGGAGGAAAAAGAGCCUAGGACGACUGGGGAAUCUUGCUGGGUGACUGUAUGCCAGGGGCUCCUUUUUUUCUUUUUUUUUUUUUUUUUUGAGACAGAGUUUCACUCUUGUUGCCCUGGCUGGAGUGCAAUGGCACAAUGGCGCGAUCUCGGCUCACCGCAACCUCCGCCUCCUGGGUUCAAGCGAUUCUCCUGCCUCAGCCUCCCAAGUAGCUGGGAUUACAGGCACCCGCCACCACCAUGCCUGGCUAAUUUUUGUAUUUUUAGUAGAGACGGGGUUUCAUCAUGUUGGCCAGGCUGGUCUCAAACUCCUGACCUCAGGUGAUGCCCCCUGCCUCGGCCUCCCAAAGUGUUGGGAUUACAGGCGUGAGCCACCACACCCGGCCCGGGGCUCCCUUCUCAGACAUGUGAAAUGCAGGUGGGACAGGUUGGAGACAAGAAGACAUCCAGCUACACAGCACUCAGCUUGAGUGAGUGUGGCGUGGGGCUCAGGAGGCAGCUGGAGCUCCAGGCUGGAGGGAUCCAGGCACCAUCAGCAGGGAGAUGGCAGCUGGCAUCAAGGAGGGCAUGCAGUGCAUGGGGCCAACCAUGCUGGGGAUACAGAGCUCUCUAAGAACUCGCAGGCCUCUCUCCAGGAGCAGGCACCCCUCCCACCCACCCGCUAUUUCAGGAGUGAAUGUGGAAGAUGUCCUAUGCACGAGCAGCAGAGGUGGAGGCUGACCUACGAGGCUGAAUGAACGAGUCUGUGAAGGAUUCUGCCAAGCAGCCAGAGGGAGGAGAACACGGAAGGCUUUUAAGGAGUGAGACCAACACUACUAGGACGCCCCACUGGACUCAGACGAGAUGAGGCUGGAGACACAGCCACUGGAUGAGCAGUCCUGGGCACAGGUAGCCCAGUAGGACUGAGAACCAGCCGGCGCCCACCUGUGCAGACCCAACUAACCAUCAGGCUGCCCGCAGACACAAGGAGGAUGGCUUCCCGCACGUCCACCUGCUUCAGCACUCCUCCAGAAGGAGCCGUCCUUGUCCUAACUAUGGAAAUGAAGGGAACAGAGACCUCCUGGCCCAGCAACAGAGUCUGGAAAGAGGACUGGUGACAAGGAUGGCACUUGGGCCCUUUGAGGGAGGCUGACUGAGAACCAGGGAAGAUGGUCCCAGGCGUUGGUGAGUGUCUUCUGCCUGGGAAAUGAGGCCCACAGGGCAGAGCUAAGUCUAGGGGGAGGAACGCUUCAACCCAGAGCAGCCUCGGGUGGACUGGAGGCUCUAACGCUCUAGAAGAGGGCUUCCCAACCCUGGCAUUACUGCCAUCUGGGCAGGCUGAGCCUUGGUUGUGGAGGCCGUCCUGCACAUUGGAGGGUGCUGAGCAGCAUCCCUGGCCUUUGUCCACUAGACACCAACAGAACCACUCCCCUUACCCCACUUGGAACAACUAAAGACACCUCCAGACAUUGUCAAUGUCCACUGGGGGACAAAACUGCGCCUAGAUGAAAGUGAAGGUUCUAGAGCCCAAGCCCCCUGGUUCGGUGCCAUCAAGCUCUCUCACCCUCUUCCUUUCAUCCUCACCCAAUCUUCUCACGUUCUUCUCCCGAGCCUCGCUGCCUCACCAUUCUAGGCCUCCCAGUCCUCUCCCAGAACAUGAGCCCGCUCGGUGAUGCCACACAGCAGAGCCACAAUGCCACUUCCAAGAACAGUUCCAACUGCUCAAGGAUGGAAGCACAGUCACGCACGCUGCCCAAGGCAACCUGAGGAUGCAUCACAUUCUCGGAUCCUCCCCGCCCCGACAUGUGAGUCAGGAUCCUGCGAGUGAGGUACAGGACACUGCAGGGAGAGAUCCAGCAAGCCCUGCCCCUCCUAUCCCUGCUCUGGAGCCAGGGGCAGUAGUGAGGCCCCUCCCCCAGACAAAUCCGGCCCCCUAUCACCUGCGAAUGUGUCCCCACCACCCCACUCCCACACCUAGUGCUACAGGUAGUGGAGUGAUCUAAGCAAUCUGGAGGCCAGACUUUAAUGCAAAUCAUACUACUCCAGUUAUUAAAUGUUUACAA